rnacentral:rRNA from 1 species
GCUUACGGCCAUACCAGCCUGAAUACCCGUCUCGUCUGAUCUCGGAAGCUAAGCAGGAUCGGGCCUGGUUACUACUUGGAUGGGAGACUGCCUGGGAAUACCAGGUGCUGCAAGCU